AUAUAUUCGUGCUAUUAGCUAGAAAUGAAGCAUGAAGAUCAAAGAUGUGGUAAAGUAUAAAUCACUAUAGGCAUUGUUACGUACACCAGUCUUUUUUCAGAUUACAUCGGAGAUGUGACGUCACGAAGUGGUGAUGACGCAACAGAAGAACCCACUUCAAAAUGGUAUGUGACGUCACAGAGGAUCAAGAGGACAAAGCGCGAAUCGAAAAUAAAGACGAAGACCAAAGACAAGACGAAGACGACGAUUAGGAUGCCGGUUUGAGGUGUUGCUUAGGCUUAGGCGUUGCGUGUUUUUGGAGUGUGGCUGCUGGAGCACUCUUACAGUGUUGCCGGAUUCGUGUCUGUUUCUCAUUUUCGCUGGACCUAAUAUGGCCAGCCUUAUGGUCAGUCACUACUUUAGUGCAUUUUGCAUGUCUCUGAAAUAUAUGCAAUGAAACUAUGGCAAACAUCUUGCUGGAUCGGAUUUUGUUGUUGUAUACACGUCAUUGAGUGUUUCUUCUGCAAAGGCCGAAUCCUUUAGCGAUUCUGCAUUGUCCUAAUCACUUGGUAAGAACGGCAUGUUGGUACACAAAUACUUGAGUAAUAUCCACGCGCAUUAUAAUAUACACGCGGUUAAAAUUUUAAACUUCUUUUCACUCCUUUUUCAUUAAUUAGUUGUCCAUUUUAACUUUGGCUAUUUUUUACAAAAGCCUAAUUGUGACGCUGGCCACGUUACAAUUACGCUAUACGUCGAUGGGUCUUAAACCCAGCGUUCGGUGCGGUUACGUCACUGUUCUAGACUGAGUUACGUUACUGUUGGGUUGUUGCGUAGACGUCGCCGCCAGUGAUGCUACGCUAGUUUUAGGUCACUAUCGGUACUGUGAUGCUACGCUCAUUCAUUUAGGUCACUACCGGUACAGUGGUGCUACGCUCGGUUAUUUAGAUCACUAUUAGUGCGGUUCGUAACAACCUGACGCAGUUUCAUAACGGUCGAAGCGGUGCUUAACAUCCGAACGAUAUUAUAUUGCGUGAAGAUACGACGAGAGUAUCGCGGUACCAACAUGGCGACUUACCUUUUAAUUGGGACAUGCGGAGCCGUUAUUGGCUUCGACUCCUUGUGGCUGGACAUUUAAUAAUUUGUACACUGCAGCUGAUUAUCUUUUAGGAUUUGAACCAUGUUUUCUUUGAAUAUGUUUCAAUGAUUAUGUCCGUGUUAAUCACUUUUUUAUAACUGUCCCAUUUUUGGUUAUGAUUGAGCUGUUACGUGUAUAUUGCAUGGUUUUCGCACUUUUUGAAUUUGCACUUCGUUAGUAUUAUUUUUGUAUUUUUGUCGUGCACAUGUGUAUGUGCAUUCGUUGUAUCAUUUUUGUCUAUGGGGGUUUCUUUAACCUGCGUGGACAGUAACAUCCCGCAAGGGUUUCUCACCAGAGUAGAAACCCACUACCAUUG